rnacentral:lncRNA from 1 species
UUGUUAACCAGUGAAUGUCUUUUCUUGGAUCAGCGCAAGUUAUAAGUGGCAGAUCUCCCUGUAAAUGCACAUAAAUAGGGGAUUAUUGACCCAUUUGCUACUUUGUUAAAUGUGAUGAGCUGCAUGCUCGUAUUAUUGUUGUGCUCACUAGUGAACUAAUUAUAUCUUGGUUCCUUAUGCUCCAAAAAUUUUCUGCUCAUAUAUGCUCUAACGAUCUUUUGAAGCUAUUGUCAUGAGUUCUUUCAGGUACUAUCGACAAAGAACAUAAAAGUCAAACAUAAAUAAACUUCUAAUGCCAAAUCAACAUAUGCUAAUAUGUAGAAUAACCACCUUAUCUUAUAUAUAUAUAUAUAUAUAGUAAUCUGGUGGUCGUUGUCGUCGUCAUCGUCACGGUGUUUUAAUCGCUUGGUACACCGGAUCCUGGUCCAACCGUCGGGCGAUCGGCGUCGGCCAGCAGCGGGUUGCCGGUCGGGUCUUGCGAGUCGCGGAGCCACACGCUGAGCAUCACUAGCCCUGUGCCGAGGAGGAGGACGAAGAGUAGGCCCAGGCAAGCGGCCGCGGAAGUGUCAGCCCUCCGCCCGUCGCCGAUCGGGUUGACCAUGGCGGGCGCAAGGGCAAGCACGAUGAGCAAGAGACCGUAGGAGGCGACCUUGGACGGGAGAUCAGCCAUGGCCGACGAGGUCUGAGAAGAAGCCACACACCGCACCAGGUGCGCCGAGGUCGAACCCGAUGAUGGGUGGGCGAGCCCGCGAAGGCCU